rnacentral:rRNA from 1 species
CAUGCAAGUCGAACGAUGAAGUCUAGCUUGCUAGACGGAUUAGUGGCGAACGGGUGAGUAAUGCUUAGGAAUCUGCCUAUUAGUGGGGGAUAACGUAGGGAAACUUACGCUAAUACCGCAUACGUCUUACGAGAGAAAGGGGGCUUUUAGCUCUCGCUAAUAGAUGAGCCUAAGUCGGAUUAGCUAGUUGGUGGGGUAAAGGCCUACCAAGGCGACGAUCUGUAGCUGGUCUGAGAGGAUGAUCAGCCACACUGGGACUGAGACACGGCCCAGACUCCUACGGGAGGCAGCAGUGGGGAAUAUUGGACAAUGGGCGAAAGCCUGAUCCAGCCAUGCCGCGUGUGUGAAGAAGGCCUUUUGGUUGUAAAGCACUUUAAGUGGGGAGGAAAAGCUUGUGGUUAAUACCCACAAGCCCUGACGUUACCCACAGAAUAAGCACCGGCUAA